rnacentral:misc_RNA from 1 species
AAGUCGUAACAAGGUUUCCGUAGGCGAGUGCUCCCUAAUCUUGCUUGAUAAAACGCAACUAACAUUUUUCUAGGUGAACCUGCGGAAGGAUCAUUAAAAAAUUUGUGGCAUUGGCCGCAUCUUCACCCCUUGUGUAUUUUCCUGUUGCUUCGGCAAGCCGAUCACUUUUAGUGACCGUCGGCUUAUGUGGACGUGUGCUUGCCGAAGAAACCUUUACUCUUAUUCAAGUCGUCUAAGUUUUACAUUAAAAGAUAAAAACUUUCAACAACGGAUCUCUUGGUUCUG